rnacentral:rRNA from 1 species
UACGGAGGGUGCGAGCGUUAAUCGGAAUUACUGGGCGUAAAGCGCACGUAGGCGGUCGUGUAAGUCGGAUGUGAAAGCCCUGGGCUUAACCUGGGAACUGCAUUCGAAACUGCACGGCUAGAGUAUGGGAGAGGGAAGCAGAAUUUCUGGUGUAGCGGUGAAAUGCGUAGAUAUCGGAAGGAAUACCAGUGGCGAAGGCAGCUUCCUGGCCCAAUACUGACGCUCAGGUGCGAAAGCGUGGGGAUCAAACAGG